rnacentral:lncRNA from 1 species
GUUUGACUAAAAACAAAACAAACCCCAUAAAGGCUUCACUUUCUCAUCACUUAUGCCUCUCGUACUUGUUGGUUCCUCCCAUCUCUCCCGACGAUCACCCUUACUAGAUUUACUGUUGUUCUUGCCGGCGCUGUCGUCCCAAUAUCUGGCUACUGUCAAUCCGUCAGAAGACAUCUUUAUCAUUGUCAUAUUAUCGAUGCCCAAAGUGCAACAAAGCUGCCAAUUUAGCCCUCCCCUGUCGUCGUCUUCUCCUGCUGUCGUCAUCAGAUUGUAGACUACAAAUACUAGCAGCUGCGUAGCAUUUCUUGAAGGUUAGAUUUUUGGGAUUUUGAACAAAAUAUUUAUGGGUUUUUUUGUACCUACUGUAGAUGGUUUGAAACUACAAGAUUUUCGACUUUUUCAAUAAACAAUUCUGCUAUGUUUCUUGCAUUGGGCAGUUCUGAAAUUGGAUAAUUUAUGAGCUUGUUGAGAAGUUGUGAAAAGGAUGUGAUGUUCAUGUAUUUGUAUAUGUAGUUGUGAAUGGGACAAUUCUGCUAUUUUUGCACCUAGAACAAUCUUAACAAAUGUUAUAUGCAUUUGUAUUUGUUGCUCCACAUAAAGGGAUUCAAAUAUAAAGCUUCGAAUUGGUACAAAUAUGAAUCAGACCCAUCAGUUUCUGCAUUCCCAUUUCAAAGAAAUUUACCUUGCUCAGUUAAAUUGGAUGAAGUUGGGUUAGCAGAAUAGGUUGCUUGGUUUGGAGUGACAAUCUGAACAAAUGUGAUAUAUAUGUAUUUGUUCUUACUUGGUUUGGAGUGACACUAAUAUACUAGUUUGUAGUUGUCUGGAUAAUGGAAUACAAGUUUUUAUGCCUAGGAAUUCAUGUAAUUAAAGUUUGGAAGGUAAAGGCCUUUAUUUCUUUAAAAUUGAUUUGGCUUCCAAAUUUGAAGCCAUAAACAAAUGUAAUGUGAUGAUCAACUUGCUUUUUUGGAAUUUUUAUGCUGUAAUGUACAGAAAUUGCUAUAUGUUAUUAUGUGAAAUUUGGUAUCAACUUGCUAGUAUAGAAUUCAGAGUAUCAAAACCAUUGAUAAUUUGAAGAAGUUGGUAGCUAUAUGUACACUAACUACAAUGUACGUGGUGGUUUUUUCCAAGUAGGGAUGAGAGGCAAGAAUUACGGUGUUUGUCACAGCUGUAGAAGUACAUAUCACUUUUUCGAAGAAUACCACAAAAAACUACGUUGUCCAUGAUGUGUAGAGGGAAUCCAAAAAUGUUUCGAGAUUCAAAAGGAGGGCAAUAACAAAGGUUGACUAUUCAAAAUGUGCAAUAAUGAUUGCAGAUUUUUUAACUGGGUAAAAGAAGAAGCAAACGAAGAGUCGAGUACCAUUAAUGACACAAUAAAUCCUACUAUGAACGAGGAAGUGAACGAAUUGCAAAAUAUGUUCGAAAGUCUAGCUCUAAUAGCCGAGAACCGAAACGUCGAGGUUUCGUUGAAUGUGACGCUCCGCAAAGGAAAAGAGCCCUCAGAAGAUAAUGGAAAACAAAAGGGCUUGGCAUAAUGUGGUGUUAUACUCGAUGUUGCAGUCUUCUCUUUAGUGUGUCUUUAGUUUGUUGGGCUAAUUGCUAGCUUUUUAAUUCAUGUAGAAUGGUGUAAUCUACUUUAGUUUUGUAAUGAUUAGAUUUGCAGCUAUUUUAGUUUUGAAUGAGGAAUAGUUUAUGGUUCAUACUGUUGCUGUG